AUGCUUCUGCCAUUACGUAAGAGGGGCCACACCAAGGUCAAAGAGAUGAACUGCGACAACCGCUACAAGCCAUAUUACAGGAGAGCCGGGCUCUUGGGUUUUGUGCUCCAGUUCAAGCGUACGCCGCCGACGCUUGUCCACACGGCUCUCACAUCGUUGGUGGACCGUUGGCGGCCCGAGACGCACUCUUUCCAUCUCCCAUGUGGUGAGAUGACGGUGACGCUCGAGGACUUCGCCAUGAUCACGACCCUACCGAUCAACGACCAUGCUCUCAUUGGGCGCGUGGAUAGGAAGAAUUGA
rnacentral:rRNA from 1 species